AUUGAACGCUGGCGGCAGGCCUAACACAUGCAAGUCGAACGAGUGGCGGACGGGUGAGUAAUGUCUGGGAAACUGCCCGAUGGAGGGGGAUAACUACUGGAAACGGUAGCUAAUACCGCAUACCAUCGGAUGUGCCCAGAGGGGAUUAGCUAGUAGGGGGGGUAACGGCUCACCUAGGCGACGAUCCCUAGCUGGUCUGAGAGGAUGACCGGCCACACUGGAACUGGGACACGGCCCAGACGCCUACGGGAGGAGGAAGUGGGGAAUAUGGAACAAGGGUGGCAAGCCGGAUGCAGCCAUGCCGCGUGUAGGAAGAAGGCCUUCGGGUUGUAAAGUACUUUCAGCGAGGAGGCGUUACUCGCAGAAGAAGCACCGGCUAACUCCGUGCCAGCCGCCGCGGUAAUA
rnacentral:rRNA from 1 species